AUUGAACGCUGGCGGCAGGCCUAACACAUGCAAGUCGAGCGGAUGAAGGGAGCUUGCUCCUGGAUUCAGCGGCGGACGGGUGAGUAAUGCCUAGGAAUCUGCCUGGUAGUGGGGGAUAACGUCCGGGAACGGCGCUAAUACCGCAUACGUCCUGAGGGAGAAAGUGGGGGGUCUUCGGACCUCACGCUAUCAGAUGAGCCUAGGUCGGAUUAGCUAGUUGGUGGGGUAAAGGCCUACCAAGGCGACGAUCCGUAACUGGUCUGAGAGGAUGAUCAGUCACACUGGAACUGAGACACGGUCCAGACUCCUACGGGAGGCAGCAGUGGGGAAUAUUGGACAAUGGGCGAAAGCCUGAUCCAGCCAUGCCGCGUGUGUGAAGAAGGUCUUCGGAUUGUAAAGCACUUUAAGUUGGGAGGAAGGGCAGUAAGUUAAUACCUUGCUGUUUUGACGUUACCAACAGAAUAAGCACCGGCUAACUUCGUG
rnacentral:rRNA from 1 species